rnacentral:lncRNA from 1 species
CUCUCCAGACUGUAGAUGAGAAGCUGUUCUGAAGAUGUUAGACCCCUGUGGUGGGGCAUGGAUGAGCUCUCCUCACCAUGUGACCAGAUGACCAUGAUCCACUGGCCACUCACCAGUACCUACAGGAGGAACUGGCAACCUCUGCUCAGUGGCCUGUCUUGUGGCUCUGCAGGUUUCCAGCUGUGCAUGGGAAGCAGAUACGGGGCAGAGGAUGGCGUGGCACUGUCAGGAAAGAUGCUAAAUCUACCUCCUCAGCCCUUGUCUUCAAUAAUGCUGCAGCAGCCUCCUCUGUGAUCUAGCUGGAAGGUAUCCUUGUGCUUGCUGGGAGGAGCAUGGGAAUAUGGGCCCACUUGAACAGACUCUUUGGAAUGCACAGAGUCACCCCCAGAGCACAAAGCAGCUGUUAAAUAUUUUCUAAGGGUUUUCAUAAUUUAUGAAAGUUUUUAUCCCAUGGAGGUUUUCCUAGAGAUGCCAUUGGGAAGCACAGGCCACUUCUCUGAAGAGCAGGGAGAGGAGAGAGAAGGCUGCCAUAUGCAUCUGCAUCUCUAAUCUAUUUGUCCCAUCUACCCAAAUAUUUACACAGCCCUCUCUCUUGAUUACUCCCUCGCCCAGCGGUCACCUGUUCUCAGCCUUUGGUUCUAGAGGUUUUUGGAGACAAUCUGUUUAGCCAUUUCAGGCCUUGGUUUUUUCAUUCAUGGCAAGGACAGAUCUGGAUGUUUUCAUGAGGAAUAUGUUUAUAAACGGUGGCGAUCCUUUCAGCUGAGAGAUGUUUUGAGAAUAUAAAAAUCUCUGCUGUGAUGAUUAAUGCAUGGCCUUUGCCAAUGAGAUUAUUUAAAUGAUAGAACAGUGGCUCCUAUUUUAAUAGUACAAACUCUUUGGAAAGUUUCAAAGCAUUUUUCUGACUUAAUUUGUCCUGAGCGUUAUUUAACCCCACUGAGAGACAGAGAUGUUGAAGUACAGUAAUGCCCAGGCUCACCCAAGCUCACCCUGGCUCAGGAGUCCAAUGGUAUUGAGGCCAAGUCACUAGGGUUGUGGCCCUCCUUUCCAGAACAUCAUUUCCAGUCUCUUCUACCAUGUCAUUCCUGGUAGGUGUUGAUAAUCACCUUUGUCCUGAGGCACUGUUGCACAGAAGAAUGACACUCCACAGGAAAAUCCAUGUUCUCAAAGCCCUGUAAUUGCAGGAGAGACUACAUGGCUGGGGGCACAGUGUCUAGACAUUGAGAUGGAUCCUUGUGCAGACAGUGGGGAUAAAACAGGAACAAGAGUGGGACCAAAGCAAGGACAGUAUGAGAAG